AAAUUGAAGAGUUUGAUCAUGGCUCAGAUUGAACGCUGGCGGCAGGCCUAACACAUGCAAGUCGAACGGUAACAGAAAGCAGCUUACUGCUUUGCUGACGAGUGGCGGACGGGUGAGUAAUGUCUGGGAAACUGCCUGAUGGAGGGGGAUAACUACUGGAAACGGUAGCUAAUACCGCAUAA
rnacentral:rRNA from 1 species